UACGUAGGGGGCAAGCGUUGUCCGGAUUUAUUGGGCGUAAAGAGCGUGUAGGCGGUCAGGUAGGUCCGUUGUGAAAACUCGAGGCUCAACCUCGAGACGCCGAUGGAAACCAUCUGACUAGAGUCCGGAAGAGGAGAGUGGAAUUCCUGGUGUAGCGGUGAAAUGCGCAGAGUAUCAGGAAGAACACCCGUGGCUAAGGCGGCUCUCUAGUACGGUACUGACGCUGAGACGCGAAAGCGUGGGGAGCGAAACAGG
rnacentral:rRNA from 1 species